UUUUUUAAUUGAAAACCGGAAUGAAAGGUUGGAACCAAGGGGAAAGUUUUAUAAAAUAUUAUUGAAUUUAAAUUAAAAGUAAAAAUGCUUUUGUAAAUUUUUGGGACGAAAAGACCCUAGAAGCUUAAAAAUUUCGGUUUUUUAGUUGGGGUAAUUUUUGAAGAAAAGAAUUUUUAUAUAAAAAAGAGGAGGAGGAAUAAGUUACUCUAGGGAUAACAGCAUAAUUUAAUUUGUAAGUUCUUAUUAAUAAUUAAGUUUGUGACCUCGAUGUUGAAUUAAUUUUAAUUUUUGGUGUAGGAGCUAAGAAGGGAGAGUCUGUUCGACUUGUAAAAGAUUACAUGAUUUGAGUUCAAAUCGGUUUAAGCCAGGUCGGUCCUUAUCUAU
rnacentral:rRNA from 1 species